UUGWGAGAGCACUGAACAAUGGAUGRUUGUGAACGUGUCAACRUGCCCCUCUACUUGGCCCCAUUUUGGUGGCCGACUGACCAUAGCUCGGUGCGAUCGGCACCAAGGAACAAUGAACUCAGAAGCAGAKGGCCCUCGGUGUGCCCGGGGAGCCCACUGCGUCRGAGACGGUCGGAAU
rnacentral:misc_RNA from 1 species